GACGAACGCUGGCGGCGUGCUUAACACAUGCAAGUCGAACGCUGACGCUCAGCUUUUGUUGGGUGGAUGAGUGGCGAACGGGUGAGUAACACGUGAGUAACCUGCCCCCUUCUUUGGGAUAACGUCCGGAGACGGGUGCUCAUACUGGAUAUUCACUGUUCUUCGCAUGGGGGCUGGUGGAAAGGGUUUUUCUGGUGGUGGAUGGGCUCGCGGCCUAUCAGCUUGUUGGUGGGGUGAUGGCCUAGCAACGCUUUGACUGGUAGACGGCCUGAGUGGGUGACCGGUCACAUAGGGACACAGGUACGGCCCAGACUGCGACGCGAGGCAGAAGUGGAGAAUAGUGCGCAAUGGGGGAAAGCCUGAUGCAGCGGCGCGGCGGGAGGGAUGAUGGCCUGCGGAUUGUGAACCUCUUUCGCUCAUGAUCAAGCCGCAACAAUGGUUGUGGUGAGGGUAGUGGGUAAAGAAGCGCCGGCUAACUACGUG
rnacentral:rRNA from 1 species